AUUGAACGCUGGCGGCAUGCCUUACACAUGCAAGUCGAACGGCAGCACGGGUGCUUGCACCUGGUGGCGAGUGGCGAACGGGUGAGUAAUACAUCGGAACAUGUCCUGUAGCGGGGGAUAGCCCGGCGAAAGCCGGAUUAAUACCGCAUACGAUCUACGGAUGAAAGCGGGGGACCUUCGUGCCUCGCGCUAUGGGGUUGGCCGAUGGCUGAUUAGCUAGUUGGUGGGGUAAAGGCCUACCAAGGCGACGAUCAGUAGCUGGUCUGAGAGGACGACCAGCCACACUGGGACUGAGGCACGGCCCAGACUCCUACGGGAGGCAGCAGUGGGGAAUUUUGGACAAUGGGCGAAAGCCUGAUCCAGCAAUGCCGCGUGUGUGAAGAAGGCCUUCGGGUUGUAAAGCACUUUUGUCCGGAAAGAAAUCCUUGGCCCUAAUACGGUCGGGGGAUGACGGUACCGGAAGAAUAAGCACCGGCUAACUACGUG
rnacentral:rRNA from 1 species